ensembl:lncRNA
CCAGUCAGUGGUAAGGCUGCAUUGGUCUUUCGCUCUGCACAACAAAGGGCAAACUGCCUGCCUGCAACACGGACUCCAGUUUACUUCUUGUCGAGCAAAGCUGAAAAGACUCGCUCAGCCCAGCCAGGAGACGCCAUUUGUCGUGGAAAUUAGACAACACACGCAGACUUUUCCUGUGAAGGACUCUCUGGCUGAAGCUGAGCAGGCGAUGGAGACCAACAAUCAGCUGGAGAAUAUGGAGACCAACACUCAGGUAGGAGAUAUUAAUUUAAAUAACUCCUACCUGAUGUCCAAAGUGAACACACUGGAAGACUGUGUGCAGCUGUUGGACGAAGAGCUUGCUCAGACCCGGAUGAGGUGUAAUGAGAUAAUGAUGGAGCUGGAGCAAGAGCAGGAGGCUCACAGAAUCCUGGAGUCCCACUGCGAAGAGAUGAAGACAACUUUAAAAACGUGUGACGAGUUACUCAAGGUGUGCGAGGGAGAGGUGAAGGAUCACAGUAUCCUAAAGGUAUCUCUGGCAGAGGUUGAGAGGAAAUACAAGCAGGCAAUGGAGUCCAAUGCUCAUCUGGAGAAUGAGACCUUUGACCUGAUGUCCAAGAUGGGCAUACUGCAAAACUCCAUGCAGGAAAUGACAAAUAAGUGUGCUGAGGCAACAAAGAAUUACGAGAAAACAAAGCGCAUUCUUGAGUUCGUGUUGGCCACCGCCAAUGAGCGGGAGAAAUCUUUAAAUCUGGAAAUAGACUUAUUUCAGGUAUGACUUUCUCUUUAUGAAAUCAGAACCAGAACAUUUCAAUCUGUUCUGACAAAGGAUGAAUUGAGUCUUGACUUGCAUUGACUGUGUGUGUGUGUGUGUAGAAAAAAUAAAUAAAUAAAUAAUGCCAACAAGUUUUGAUUUGUGAACUUCCAGGCUUCUCUGGCUGAAGCGGAGAGGCAGUACGAAAUUUUGGUAACGGACUACUAUGAGACGGUUGACACACAGAAUAACUUGAGAGCUGAGCUGAGCACUCUGCACGGAAAAGUGGGUGAUCUGCAGGGAGCGCUCAGGACGGUAACAACGGCAUGUGAGCAAUUGAGAAGCAUGAGGGACAAAUUGAGUUUAAUGAUUACAACUAUACUAAAUGAGCGUAAACGAGAGCAGGCCUGUCUGGCUGAAGCUGAGAGGAAAUACAAAGAAGUCAUGGAGGCCAAUGCUCAGUUGGAGAAAGAGAAGUCUGACCUGCAGUCCCAGGUGAACACACUGCAAGGCUCAGUGCAGCAGCUGAAGGAAGAGCACUCUGAGACACGCAUGAAGUGUGAUGAAAUGCUGGUCUCUCUGGCUGCAGCUGACAACCUGUAUGAGGAAGCGAUGCAGUCCAAGGCUAAGAUGAAGAAUGAAAUAUUGGACCUGAAGUACCACUUGCACACACUGCGAGACUCAGUGCGGGAGCUGGAGAUAAUGCUCUCUGAUGGAGAGAUGCACUGCGACGCUAUAAAGCAGGAGACAGAACAAGAGCGGGAGGCUUACUGUAUCCUGAAGAUGCAAUACAAAAAGAUGAAGGAAACUAUUCAGAGGUUCAGAGAGCUACUAAUUAACUAUCACACAGAGCUUGGUUUCGUGGAGCAGGUUGAUCUGUGAACCCCAGAUAAUUGCCACGGGCAUGUUUUAACACCUGGAUAUUCUCUUACAGUGCAUCCGGAAAGUAUUCACAGCGCUUCACUUUUUCCACAUUUUGUUAUGUUGCAGCAUUAUUCCCAAAUGGAUUAAAUUCAUUAUUUUCGUCAAAAUUCUACAAACAAUAUCCCAUAAUGACAAGGUGAAAUAAGUUUGUUUGAAAUCUUUGCAAAUUUAUUAGAAAUGAAAAACAACAACAAAAAAAGCACAUGUACAAACUUCUUUGGAAAAACUGAAGCGCUGUGAAUACUUUCCGGAUGUACUGUAUGUACACACGAGAAUUUCCAGGUGUUAAUCCCUGUCCCUGGUCUCCCUGAAGGAGGAGGCGAAACAGAACGACAGCCAACAUGCAGACGCUGAAGAAUGAUGACGAAUGGAUGCAAUAAACAAUAAAUAAAGAUGGUG